GACGAACGCUGGCGGCGUGCUUAACACAUGCAAGUCGAACGAAGUGGCGAACGGGGGAGUAACGCGUAAUCAACCUGCCCUUCAGAGGGGGACAACAGUUGGAAACGACGGCUAAUACCGCAUACGGAAGGAGGGAAUUGCGGCUGAAUAGCUAGUUGGAGGGGUAACGGCCCACCAAGGCGAUGAUCAGUAGCCGGUCUUAGAGGAUGAACGGCCACAUUGGGACUGGGACACGGCCCAGACUCCUACGGGAGGCAGCAGUGGGGAAUCUUCCGCAAUGGACGAAAGUCUGACGGAGCAACGCCGCGUGAGUGAUGACGGCCUUCGGGUUGUAAAGCUCUGUUAAUCGGGACGCGGUACCGGAAUAGAAAGCCACGGCUAACUACGUGCCAGCAGCCGCGGUAAUAC
rnacentral:rRNA from 1 species